UAGAAUUAUAAAACAGCCCAAAUAUAUC
rnacentral:sRNA from 1 species